rnacentral:rRNA from 1 species
UACGUAGGUGGCAAGCGUUGUCCGGAAUUAUUGGGCGUAAAGCGCGCGCAGGUGGUUUCUUAAGUCUGAUGUGAAAGCCCACGGCUCAACCGUGGAGGGUCAUUGGAAACUGGGGAACUUGAGUGCAGAAGAGGAAAGUGGAAUUCCAAGUGUAGCGGUGAAAUGCGUAGAGAUUUGGAGGAACACCAGUGGCGAAGGCGACUUUCUGGUCUGUAACUGACACUGAGGCGCGAAAGCGUGGGGAUCAAACAGG